rnacentral:rRNA from 1 species
ACAAAGGUAUUGAAAUAAGACUUUAAUUGAGUGCUAAGAGAAUGGAUUAACGGUAAAAUUCUUUUUUAAUUUCAAAAAUUGAAGUUAUUUUUGUUAGUGAAGAAACUACAAUAAAAAUUAAGGACAAGAAGACCCUAAGAAUUUUAAAUAAUUUAAAAAAAAUUUUUUUUAAAUUAUUUUAAUUGGGGCGAUUAAUAAAAAUAAGAAACUUUAUUUCUCCAAAAAAAUGAACCAUUAAUAAUGGCCAUAUGAAAAAAAUACUCUAGGGAUAACAGCGUA